UCUCCGUUGGUGAACCAGCGGAGGGAUCAUUACAGGACUCGCAAGACUCCUUCACCCAGUGAACCUCACUACAAGCACGUUGCUUCGGCGGGUGUCCCGGCGGGGGUUUUCCCUCGCCGGGGCGCACUGCCCGCCGGCAGCCUACUAUACUCUGUCUCUUUGCGUUGGCAUCUCGAGAAAAAACAAACAAGUUAAAACUUUCAACAACGGAUCUCUUGGUUCUGGAAUCGAUGAAGAACGCAGC
rnacentral:misc_RNA from 1 species